AAGUCGUAACAAGGUUUCCGUAGGUGAACCUGCGGAAGGAUCAUUAAUGAAUGCAAAUUCCCGUCGAGCUUGCUCACGGGGGUUCAUCAUAUCCAUAACACCUGUGCACUUGUUGGAUGGUUUAACCAAAGCGUAAGCUGAAGUUAUCCAUCUAAUUUACACUAAACAAUUCUGUAACAAAUGUAGUCUUAUUAUAACAUAAUAAAACUUUCAACAACGGAUCUCUUGGCUCUC
rnacentral:misc_RNA from 1 species